ensembl:rRNA 5S_rRNA 5S ribosomal RNA
GUCCACAGCUAUGCCACCCUGAACACACCUGAUCUCCUCUGGUCUUGGAAGCUAAGCAGGUUGGGUCUGGUUAGUACUUGGAUGGGAGAGUACCUGGGAAUACCAGGUGCUGUAGGCU